CUACAAUUCUUUUAUGGACAGUGACUUUCCAUGGAUCACCGUGGACAACGCACGGUCCGGACAGCGGAGGUGCGAAUAACAACAUAUUGCGCAUUGUCCUGCCACUUUUAGGAAUUCUUCUUUUUGCCGCUGUGAUUGCCGUCAUAAUUUGCUGUUAUAUGGCCUGGCGUCGGCGUGUCAAAAAGCAAGAAAA